GGAUGGCGAGCUUGGCGACAUUUGUAGUGAAACCGUGAAGUGUGUGCUGGCUCUGGGGCUUGUCAUAUUGCAGUUGUGUUUUCGGGUUCUAGGUGGUUGCUCCUGUGUUUGGAUGUUUAAGUGUUAAAAUUAUAACAGCUACUAAGCCCUGGU